CACGUAGGGGGCGAGCGUUGUCCGGAUUUAUUGGGCGUAAAGAGCUCGUAGGCGGCUCGGUAAGUCAGGUGUGAAAACUCUAGGCUCAACCUAGAGACGCCACCUGAUACUGCUGUGGCUAGAGUCCGGUAGGGGAGCAUGGAAUUCCUGGUGUAGCGGUGAAAUGCGCAGAUAUCGGGAGGAACAUCCGUGGCGAAGGCGACUACCUGGACCAGCACUGACACUGAGGCACGAAAGCGUGGGGAGCAAACAGG
rnacentral:rRNA from 1 species